UACGUAGGGUCCAAGCGUUAUCCGGAUUCACUGGGCGUAAAGCGCACGUAGGCGGCUUUCUAAGUCGGGGGUGAAAUCCUGGAGCUCAACUCCAGAACUGCCUUCGAUACUGGAAAGCUCGAGUCCGGGAGAGGUGAGUGGAACUGCGUGUGUAGAGGUGAAAUUCGUAGAUAUUCGCAAGAACACCAGUGGCGAAGGCGGCUCACUGGCCCGGUACUGACGCUGAGGUGCGAAAGCGUGGGGAGCAAACAGG
rnacentral:rRNA from 1 species